CAACCCUGAAGGCCAACAUGGCUUAUUCUUUGCUCCAUACUAGGCCCUGUGCUGGGGAUUUGGUGGAGUUUUGAGAAAUACAGCUCCUGGGUUCCUCACUAAAUAGCGCUGUGUGGCCGCGCUCUGCUUGCCAGAGACAGAAGGGGCAUUUCCAGUGAAUCACGAGUCCUGCUUGUUCGGAACAGCUGUGACUUCAAAUGUUCUAUCCCAACAGUCAGACCCACAAGGCUGGAACUAAGAUGGGAAGCCACUGAGUACCAGUGGAGCUGGUACUAGUGGGUCUUAACAAACAUUUAGCAAUGAAGUAAGUGGUUUAGUGUUCAC
rnacentral:lncRNA from 12 species